rnacentral:rRNA from 1 species
CUUGGUCAUUUAGAGGAAGUAAAAGUCGUAACAAGGUUUCCGUAGGUGAACCUGCGGAAGGAUCAUUAUUGAAAUAAACCUGAUAGGUUGUUGCUGGUUCUCUCGGGAGCAUGUGUGCACACUUGUCAUCUUUAUAUAUCUCCACCUGUGCACCUUUUGUAAAUCUGAAUAUCUUUCUGGAAAUGCCUGGCAUAUUCAGGUUUGAGGAUUGAUCUUUUUCUUUCCUUACAUUUUCAGGUUUAUGUUUUUCAUAUACCCCAAGUAUGUUAUAGAAUGUUAUAAACGGGCCUUUGUGCCUAUAAAUUUAUACAACUUUCAGCAACGGAUCUCUUGGCUCUCGCAUCGAUGAAGAACGCAGCGAAAUGCGAUAAGUAAUGUGAAUUGCAGAAUUCAGUGAAUCAUCGAAUCUUUGAACGCACCUUGCGCUCCUUGGUAUUCCGAGGAGCAUGCCUGUUUGAGUGUCAUUAAUAUAUCAACCUCUUCAGCUUUUUGCAUGUUGAGUUGUUGGAUGUGGGGGKRUUUUUGCUGGACUCUAGAAUSUGAGGUCAGCUCCCCUAAAAUGUAUCAGCGAAACAAUUUGUUUACCGCUCAUUGGUGUGAUAACUAUCUACGCUAUUGACGGUGAAAGCACGUUUAGCUCCUAACAGUCCAUUAGCUUGGACAACCUCUUAUUAAUGUGACCUCAAAUCAGGUAGGACUACCCGCUGAACUUAAGCAUAUCAAUAAGCGGAGGA